GGCGUAGGAAAUUUGAGAGGAGCUGUCCUUAGUACGAGAGGACCGGGAUGGACUUACCGCUGGUGUACCAGUUGUUCUGCCAAGGGCAUUGCUGGGUAGCUAUGUAGGGAAGGGAUAAACGCUGAAAGCAUCUAAGUGUGAAGCCCACCUCAAGAUGAGAUUUCCCAUUUCUUUAAGAAAGUAAGACCCCUGAGAGAUGAUCAGGUAGAUAGGUUGGAAGUGGAAGGCUAGUGAUAGUUGGAGCGGACCAAUACUAAUCGGUCGAGGACUUAACCAAA
rnacentral:rRNA from 1 species